rnacentral:rRNA from 1 species
AAGGCUUCAGUACGACCCAGUCAGAACUAUAAGUCUCAAAGCCCCGACGAGUAGGGUGGCGUGCCGGUGUGCGUCGAAGGCCAAGACGUGAGUCAGGCUGGAGCCGCCGGUAGUGCAGAUCUUGGUGGUAGUAGCAAGUACUCUGGUGAACCAACCUGGAGCUGUGAGGUCUGGAUUAGGGUUCCAUGUCAACAGUGAUUGAACAUGGGUAAGUCGAUCCUAAGCCAACUGUGAAUGCAGUGACAUCCCGACAAAGGGGCAUUUCGUGCGCCGCACCUGCACCCCCAAAGCAAAGCUCUCUCUCGCAUGCAUAAGCUGUCUGGUACGCGCACACACAAUGAUCACUAAAUAAAGUGAGUGUGUGCGGCUCUGCUAUUACGCUCAAAAGCGUUGAGGAUCUGACUGUCUGGAAUAAAAGAGAGAGAGUGGGUGAGUGUAAGGUAUGCCAUUGCAUGGCUUCCUGCGUUGGUUCUAUGUCUGGCGAAAGGGAAUGGGGACUUUGUUCCUUGACCGGUCCCGGCACCCUCGAUUGGCUCUGCCAAUCAAUGGUCCAUGCAAAUGGAACCAGGCCACAGCCGCUGGCAGUCGCCCGAGGAAGAGUUUUCUUUUCUGCUUAACGCACGAGAUCAUCCCUGGAAACAGUUCGGCUGGCGAAAGGGUGCUCCGUUGCGGCAGAGCGCCACGACUGUCGUGCGCGUCUCGGUGUUCCUGCCGGUCCGUGAAGACGUGGUCGAGGGGAAUGCUAUCUUGUAUCAACGAAACGCCCGACAAGUUCGGGACGGACCGUACCCUAUAUCCGCAUCUGGUCUCCAAGGUUCGUAGCCUCUGCAGAGUCAGACACAUGUAGGUAAGGGAAGUCGGCAAACUCGAUCCGUAACUUCGGGAAAAGGAUUGGCUCUGAGGGCCGAGCUGGGCCGGGCCUUGCCUGCAAAGCAGUACCUAUAGUGACCGGAGUUUCAGGAGUGCGAGGGGCUCUAGUAGCUGCUUGUGCGUGUGUGCGUUCGCGCGUGCGCGCGUGUGGGCACGAACGAGUCCACCGCUCCGCUCCAACCACGAACGGCUGUGACGGCAAGGGCUCUGGGCGGGAGCGAUCGAUCCGUUGGCCCCCAGCGCGUCUGGGUGGCGGCGGUGCUCUGUCUGACCCAUACGGCUCCAGCGGCUAGCGGCUAACUCAGAACUGUCAUGGACCAAGGGAAUCCGACUGUCUAAUUAAAACAAAGCGUCGUGACGGCCCC